AUGUGAAAGAAAAAUAGCAUAUUUAGUAUGUUGUAUCCUUAUUCAAAUUAAAUCACUUGUUAAUCGAGUCCACGUAAAUCAAAUAUUGCAGGUACCAGUCAACUUCUGCGGCAAACAACACAAAAGCACAACGAAAAUUUCUAGGUGAUCCAAGGGAGCUCACUCGUGAAGGAGGAUGCGAGAUAGAAUAGCGUGUGAGCAAUGAUGACGUUAUAAUAUAAACUAAUCAACCAUGAAGCUAUAACCAUUCCAUACCCCAAACC